UACGAAGGGGGCUAGCGUUGCUCGGAAUUACUGGGCGUAAAGGGCGCGUAGGCGGACAGUUUAGUCAGAGGUGAAAGCCCAGGGCUCAACCUUGGAAUUGCCUUUGAUACUGGCUGUCUUGAGUUCGGGAGAGGUGAGUGGAAUGCCGAGUGUAGAGGUGAAAUUCGUAGAUAUUCGGCGGAACACCAGUGGCGAAGGCGACUCCACUGGCCCGAUACUGA
rnacentral:rRNA from 1 species